AGGUAAAAAUUUCAUCUAUUUCUACUUGUAAAAAUUGGGGUGGUUGACGGAAUAGUUAGACAGUUACAUAUGGUGUGUCAAGUGUACUUCAUAUUAAUGUUUAUGGACCAUUUUUUUAACAAUGGAAAUGAAUGGAUUUUUUAAUA
rnacentral:pre_miRNA from 1 species